GAUGAACGCUGGCGGCAUGCCUAAUACAUGCAAGUCGAACGAGAGGAAGGAAAGCUUGCUUUUCUGAUCUAGUGGCGAACGGGUGAGUAACACGUAGGUAACCUGCCCAUGUGCCCGGGAUAACUUCUGGAAACGGAUGCUAAAACCGGAUAGGUAGCAGACAAGCAUUUGACUGCUAUUAAAGUGGCUAAGGCCAUGAACAUGGAUGGACCUGCGGUGCAUUAGCUAGUUGGUGAGGUAACGGCCCACCAAGGCGACGAUGCAUAGCCGGCCUGAGAGGGCGGACGGCCACAUUGGGACUGAGACACGGCCCAAACUCCUACGGGAGGCAGCAGUAGGGAAUUUUCGUCAAUGGGGGGAACCCUGAACGAGCAAUGCCGCGUGAGUGAGGAAGGUCUUCGGAUCGUAAAGCUCUGUUGUAAGAGAAAAACGACAUUCAUAGGGAAUGAUGAGUGAGUGAUGGUAUCCUACCAGAAAGUCACGGCUAACUACGUGCCAGCCGCCGCCGUAA
rnacentral:rRNA from 1 species